ACGAACGCUGGCGGCGUGCUUAACACCUGCAAGUCGAACGGAAAGGCCCUGCUUGCAGGGUACUCGAGUGGCGAACGGGUGAGUAACACGUGGGUGAUCUGCCCUGCACUUCGGGAUAAGCUUGGGAAACUGGGUCUAAUACCGGAUAGGAACCAUCUUUAGUGUGGUGGUUGGAAAGUUUUUUCGGUGUAGGAUGAGCUCGCGGCCUAUCAGCUUGUUGGUGGGGUAAUGGCCUACCAAGGCGGCGACGGGUAGCCGGCCUGAGAGGGUGUACGGCCACACUGGGCCUGUGAGACGGCCCAGAGUCCUACGGGAGGCAGCAGUGGGGAAUGUUGCACAAUGGGCGCAAGCCUGAUGCAGCGACGCCGCGUGGGGGAUGAAGGCCUUCGGGUUGUAAACUCCUUUCGCUAGGGACGAAGCGUUGUUGUGACGGUACCUAGAUAAGAAGCACCGGCUAACUACGUG
rnacentral:rRNA from 1 species